CGGAUCGCCCUUUCGGCGGGCGCGGGGCGGCGGGAGCGGAGCUGCUGCGGGGCUUCAGCGCAGCUCUUGCGAGGCCGCAGCGGGACCGCGAACGGCCUCGGCCUCUCCCGGCGGGGUCAGCGGGAAGCGCUGCGUCCCUCAUGCGCAGGAAACCGGUGAUGAUUGAGGCGGCUCCACAGCUGCGCCUUCCCCCGCCAUGUUACGGCGAGGCUCCCUCAGGGCCGGUGCCGCUUUCCCCCGGCGCUGAGCGGCUGCGGCGGAAGGAACGAGCCAGCCUGGCAGUGGACAAAAAAUGAACCAGCCAAGAUGGUGUGACUUUAAAAAUGAAGGGUAAUCCUUCAGAAAAAGGCUGCUUAAGCAAGCUUCAACCACCUCUAACUUGAAGCAGCAGUGGUGUAACCAGGCUUUGGGGCGUGGCUGAACACCAUCCCGGUAUUUCCCACUUCUCCCGAGGCCGUGCAGACCCGGAGACCCGGAGGAGCCGCGGGCCAGGCUUUCCUCACACCGGGGGUCCUGCAUGGGCACUGAGUGCUAAUGAGUGUCUCUUUAGAGCUUCCCUGUGUGAGGCACAGCAGAACCAUGGACAUUUUCCUGAUGGCAUUUGCUGGAACUGCCCUUCCCCAGGCAGCACUCCUGGGCCAUGGAUAUUGCUUUGCUGGCUCUCAGCUGUGGAAAACGUGAAUGUUUUGCAUGAAAGUGGUUUUGAGAGAAAUUAAAAAUCUCUGUGUGCACAAGACAGCCCUUCAUCACCAAGGACUGGUUUGUGUCAUGGCUUCAAAGGCUGGGAUAAGUCCAGAUUUUUUUCCCCUGCACUAUUAAUAGCUUGGCUCUGCACCAGGGUUGGCAAACUCACCUUGGAUUUUUAGGGAGUGAUGGAAUAGCCCAAAGCAGGCUCCAGCUAUCCUCCUCUUAAAUUAUCCCUUUCCUAAACUCCCCCAGCCAGAUUAAUUUCUAUAACCCCUCUGAUGUCAUGGCAAAGAGUUUCUUCUAAAUUUGUGCCAUGUCUUUCUGGACUAAAGGAAAUCCCUGUGUAAAAGUUUCCUUAUAACAGAGCCUUAAAAAGUGUGGUUUCAUUUCCUAUUUCAUCUUUUAUUUCCCCUGGGAUGUGAAAAAUCUUGGGACAAUCCCAAGACAAUGAGGGCAGCAGAGUCUGGAUGGCAGGGGUUAAUUAGCUCAUUAGUACUGACAUUAUUGAUCCCUUUUCCUGCCUGUUUUUCAACUUUCCUGACAUCCUGGGCAUUUUUUUUUAUUUGCAGAUUAUGCCUUGAGCUGCAGAACGUCUGACAAACGUGGCAACUGAGAACUGGUAGGCAGCAUCCACGUCUGAUGGUUUGGAGACUCCUAAAACUUGAUCAUCUGUGUUUUCUCUACAUGGUUAUGAAGGAUUGAAAUAAAAAAAAACACUAAAUAAAGAUGCCACCUACAAGACUGAAA